GUGACAUGAAGCUAAGGGUUGCUUAUGCUUAGCCCUGCCCUGUCCCUGGCUAGGAAGGAGGCCACGUCAGUGGCCACAGGGGCCUCCGGGAGCUGGAAAUAACUGCAUUGGUAACCUCCACCCAACUCCCCACACAGAGCUGGAGCAAAUUCGAAUUUUCUCUGUCAAUAAGAAGGGUACACUGGGAGGGAGGGCCAUACUUAUCAUCUCAGGAUUUGGGUAGCUGAGGCAGGAGAAUUGCCUCAAGUUUAAGGUCAGCCAGGGCUACAGAGUGAGACCCUGUCCAACAACAACAAAGAUGCUGUCCAGCUGUGGGGGAGAACCUGGAAAUGAGGUGACAGCUAAGUCUGAGGGGGGACUCAGUGAGUUUUCCCUCAGCUAAGGUCCGGGCCUGCCGGUCUGGUAGGUCUUCCCUGCAUGUCCACAGCCCUGCGUUGAGGACACCUCACACCCUGCUCCUCUGAGGUCAAACACCCUCUUCUUCAGCUUGAUACACUCCUCUCGCAGGUCCUGUCCGCCCAGGAGUGAAGGCUUAACCGAGCAGGCCUCUGGAGUCCCAGGAUGGCCCCGACUACAUCCUGGUCUAUCUGGGGCGGUUGGGUGGCAGCAUGAGAGCUUCCUGGAUCCGCUCACCUUCUGGUUCAGUAGUGCCUGCACCACGUGGUUGGCCACCUGGGGACAGAAAGCCGCGGAGCUGAGCUGGUGCCGUGUCCACCCAUCCCAUCCCCAGCACUGUCCUUUGGCACACCCCACAGACCUCAUCCAGACAGCGCUCGCUGCCAGCCGAGCUGGCGAGUGAAGAGGAAGGAAGCGCUUUUCAGGGGAACUUCACCAAGCCCCCGGCCUCCUCCAGCCUGGCGAGCCUUCUCCACACUGACCUGGGUGGGCAGCCCUGACUCCAGGGUCCUGGCCGGCACUGCUGCCCCACCCCGUCUGCCACCACACACCUCCAGCUCCCGAAGUCGGUGCAGAAGCUCGUGGCAGGUGCCCAGCUCCACGCUGCAAUCAUCACCAGCCGCUGGCCUCAGGCUUCCAGUGCCCCCCGCGGGCGGCUCCAUGGCCUUGGGUGUCAGGCCCUGGGAACAAGAGAGCGAAGCCCUGGCAGGGUACUCACAGGCAAGAGGAGAAAUGAGAAGGAGGAUGACAAACUCUUGGGUGACCCGUCACACUUGGGGUGAUGUAACAACUCAGGUCAGGCUGGGCGACCCCAGCUCUUCCCCACACCCUGCUUAGGGGCCUAGACCCCCAAUUCUCUGCUAGGAUCCACCACAAACUGGCAAAUCAAUCAGCUGCCCUGUGAAGCGAUGUCCCUGUUUACAAAAUAACACCAACUUCAACCGA